rnacentral:rRNA from 1 species
CAGUCGCCGCGGGAAUACAGAGGGUGCAAGCGUUAAUCGGAAUUACUGGGCGUAAAGCGCGCGUAGGUGGUUCGCCAAGUUGGAUGUGAAAUCCCCGGGCUCAACCUGGGAACUGCAUCCAAAACUGGCGAGCUAGAGUAUGGUAGAGGGUGGUGGAAUUUCCUGUGUAGCGGUGAAAUGCGUAGAUAUAGGAAGGAACAUCAGUGGCGAAGGCGACCACCUGGACUGAUACUGACACUGAGGUGCGAAAGCGUGGGGAGCAAACAGGAUUAGAUACCCGCGUAGUCCCUGUCUCUUAUAC